rnacentral:rRNA from 1 species
AUUGAACGCUGGCGGCAUGCUUUACACAUGCAAGUCGAACGGUAACAGGCCUUCGGGCGCUGACGAGUGGCGAACGGGUGAGUAAUGCAUCGGAACGUGCCCAGUCGUGGGGGAUAACGCAGCGAAAGCUGUGCUAAUACCGCAUACGAUCUGCGGAUGAAAGCGGGGGACCUUCGGGCCUCGCGCGAUUGGAGCGGCCGAUGUCAGAUUAGGUAGUUGGUGGGGUAAAGGCUCACCAAGCCAACGAUCUGUAGCUGGUCUGAGAGGACGACCAGCCACACUGGGGCUGAGACACGGCCCAGACUCCUACGGGAGGCAGCAGUGGGGAAUUUUGGACAAUGGGCGCAAGCCUGAUCCAGCAAUGCCGCGUGCAGGAAGAAGGCCUUCGGGUUGUAAACUGCUUUUGUACGGAGCGAAAAGGCUCCCUCUAAUACAGGGGGCUCAUGACGGUACCGUAAGAAUAAGCACCGGCUAACUACGUGCCAGCCGCCGCAGUAAUAC